UUACCUGGCCUUGACAUACUAAGAACUUUCCAGAGAUGGAUUGGUGCCUUCGGGAACUUAGAUACAGGUGCUGCAUGGCUGUCGUCAGCUCGUGUCGUGAGAUGUUGGGUUAAGUCCCGCAACGAGCGCAACCCUUUUCCUUAUUUGCCAGCGGGUUAAGCCGGGAACUUUAAGGAUACUGCCAGUGACAAACUGGAGGAAGGCGGGGACGACGUCAAGUCAUCAUGGCCCUUACGGCCAGGGCUACACACGUGCUACAAUGGUCGGUACAAAGGGUUGCUACCUCGCGAGAGGAUGCUAAUCUCAAAAAGCCGAUCGUAGUCCGGAUCGCAGUCUGCAACUCGACUGCGUGAAGUCGGAAUCGCUAGUAAUCGCGGAUCAGAAUGCCGCGGUGAAUACGUUCCCGGGCCUUGUACACACCGCCCGUCACACCAUGGGAGUUUGUUGCACCAGAAGUAGGUAGUCUAACCGCAAGGAGGACGCUUACCACGGUGUGGCCGAUGACUGGGGUGAAGUCGUAACAAGGUAAGCGUAGAUGA
rnacentral:rRNA from 1 species